rnacentral:rRNA from 1 species
AUUGAACGCUGGCGGCAGGCCUAACACAUGCAAGUCGAGCGGAUGAAGGGUGCUUGCUCCUGGAUUCAGCGGCGGACGGGUGAGUAAUGCCUAGGAAUCUGCCUGGUCGUGGGGGAUAACGUCCGGAAACGGGCGCUAAUACCGCAUACGUCCUGAGGGAGAAAGUGGGGGAUCUUCGGACCUCACGCUAUCAGAUGAGCCUAGGUCGGAUUAGCUAGUUGGUGGGGUAAAGGCCUACCAAGGCGACGAUCCGUAACUGGUCUGAGAGGAUGAUCAGUCACACUGGAACUGAGACACGGUCCAGACUCCUACGGGAGGCAGCAGUGGGGAAUAUUGGACAAAGGGCGAAAGCCUGAUCCAGCCAUGCCGCGUGUGUGAAGAAGGUCUUCGGAUUGUAAAGCACUUUAAGUUGGGAGGAAGGGCAGUAAGUUAAUACCUUGCUGUUCUGACGUUACCAACAGAAUAAGCACCGGCUAACUUCGUG